AUGGCCUCGGUUGGUGCGGUGCGUCCUUCCUCGCGCUUCCAGAAUGACACGAGUACUAGUGGUGAUGCCGACCGACUUCCGAACGAGAUGGGCAGUAUGAGCAUAAGGGAUGACAGGGACACUGAAGAUAUAGUAGUCAACGGCAAUGGGACGGAACCGGGCCAUAUUAUAGUCACAAGCAUUGAGGGAAGAAAUGGGCAAGCAAAACAGACCAUUAGCUACAUGGCUGAGCGCGUGGUUGGUAAUGGGUCAUUUGGAACUGUUUUCCAGGCCAAGUGUCUUGAAACUGGCGAGACAGUGGCUAUAAAGAAGGUUCUUCAAGACAAGAGAUACAAGAACCGUGAGCUGCAAACGAUGCGAGUUCUUGACCACCCAAAUGUUGUGGCUUUAAAGCAUUGUUUUUUCUCAAAGACUGAGAAGGAGGAGCUUUACCUCAACCUGGUGCUUGAGUAUGUUCCGGAGACUGCUCAUCGUGUCAUUAAGCAUUACAACAAGAUGAACCAACGCAUGCCCCUGAUAUAUGCAAAACUGUACAUGUAUCAGAUAUGUAGAUCUUUGGCAUACAUUCACAACAGCAUUGGAGUAUGUCACAGAGAUAUUAAGCCUCAAAAUCUUCUGGUGAAUCCACAUACUCAUCAGUUGAAAUUAUGUGACUUUGGAAGCGCGAAAGUGCUGGUAAAAGGAGAGCCAAAUAUUUCCUAUAUCUGUUCAAGGUACUAUAGAGCCCCAGAGCUCAUAUUUGGUGCUACUGAAUACACAACAGCAAUUGAUGUUUGGUCUGCUGGCUGUGUUCUUGCUGAACUCCUUCUAGGACAGCCUAUAUUCCCUGGGGACAGUGGUGUUGAUCAGCUUGUUGAAAUCAUCAAGGUUUUAGGUACCCCUACACGAGAAGAAAUUAAGUGCAUGAAUCCAAAUUAUACUGAGUUUAAAUUCCCGCAAAUCAAAGCUCACCCAUGGCACAAGAUCUUCCAUAAAAGAAUGCCUGCUGAAGCAGUAGAUCUUGUCUCCAGACUCUUGCAAUAUUCACCAAGCCUGCGUUCAACUGCUUUGGAAGCAUUAAUUCAUCCAUUCUUCGAUGAACUUCGGGACCCAAACACCCGCUUACCGAACGGCCGUUUUCUUCCUCCACUCUUUAACUUCAAGCCCCAUGAGUUGAAGGGCGUGCCGAUGGACAUCCUGGUGAAGCUCAUCCCUGAACAUGCUCGGAAGAACUGUGCCUUUGUAGGAUGGUGA
rnacentral:rRNA from 1 species